rnacentral:rRNA from 1 species
UACGUAGGUGGCAAGCGUUGUCCGGAUUUACUGGGCGUAAAGGGAGCGUAGGUGGAUGUUUAAGUGGGAUGUGAAAUACCUGGGCUUAACUUGGGUGCUGCAUUCCAAACUGGAUAUCUAGAGUGCAGGAGAGGAAAGUGGAAUUCCUAGUGUAGCGGUGAAAUGCGUAGAGAUUAGGAAGAACACCAGUGGCGAAGGCGACUUUCUGGACUGUAACUGACACUGAGGCUCGAAAGCGUGGGGAGCAAACAGGAUUAGAUACCCUGGUAGUCCACGCCGUAAACGAUGGAUACUAGGUGUGGGGGUUUCAACACCUCCGUGCCGCCGUUAACACAAUAAGUAUCCCGCCUGGGGAGUACGGUCGCAAGAUUAAA